UCACUCAGCCCUCCGUUUGCCCGC
rnacentral:miRNA from 1 species